rnacentral:lncRNA from 1 species
AAAACUAUAGCCAUUGCUACCAAUAAUACUAGUAAUACUUAACCGCACCAACGAUAAUGCUCCUGCACUAUAACCAGUUUCUCAAGAUUUAUUGCUUGCUCAAGCAAACACUUCAACAGUUGAGAUAACUCUGACGCGUCAGCCAGGUAGUGGUUAUCAGUACAGGGACUCCAAAACAACCCUUGCACUCUUCACAUUCUGUAAAGAUUCUUUGAGUACGAUUUCGUUAUGCUGUCUUCCGGCAAAGCAUAACGAAAUUCGUGUAUCUAUGUGCUGACGCAUUUCUAAAGAUACAGAAGAACCAGAAAUUGGGUUAAGUGGU